rnacentral:rRNA from 1 species
AUUGAACGCUGGCGGAAUGCUUUACACAUGCAAGUCGAACGGCAGCACGGACUUCGGUCUGGUGGCGAGUGGCGAACGGGUGAGUAAUGUAUCGGAACGUGCCCAGUCGUGGGGGAUAACGUAGUGAAAAUUACGCUAAUACCGCAUACGAUCUAUGGAUGAAAGCGGGGGAUCGCAAGACCUCGCGCGAUUGGAGCGGCCGAUAUCAGAUUAGGUAGUUGGUGGGGUAAAGGCCCACCAAGCCAACGAUCUGUAGCUGGUCUGAGAGGACGACCAGCCACACUGGAACUGAGACACGGUCCAGACUCCUACGGGAGGCAGCAGUGGGGAAUUUUGGACAAUGGGCGAAGGCCUGAUCCAGCCAUUCCGCGUGCAGGAUGAAGGCCCUCGGGUUGUAAACUGCUUUUGUACAGAACGAAAAGGUUUCUACUAAUACUAGGAGCCCAUGACGGUACUGUAAGAAUAAGCACCGGCUAACUACGUGCCAGCAGCCGCCGUAA